GACGAACGCUGGCGGCGUGCUUAACACAUGCAAGUCGAACGGUAAGGCCCUUCGGGGUACACGAGUGGCGAACGGGUGAGUAACACGUGGGUGAUCCGCCCUGCACUUCGGGAUAAGCCUGGGAAACUGGGUCCAAUACCGGAUAGGACUACGGACUGCAUGGUCUGGGGUGGAAAGCGUUUGCGGUGUGGGAUGGGCCCGCGGCCUAUCAGCUUGUUGGUGGGGUGAUGGCCGACCAAGGCGACGACGGGUAGCCGGCCUGAGAGGGUGACCGGCCACACUGGGACUGAGAUACGGCCCAGACUCCUACGGGAGGCAGCAGUGGGGAAUAUUGCACAAUGGGCGCAAGCCUGAUGCAGCAACGCCGCGUGAGGGAUGACGGCCUUCGGGUUGUAAACCUCUUUCAGCAUCGACGAAGCGAAAGUGACGGUAGGUGCAGAAGAAGGACCGGCCAACUACGUGCCAGCAGCCGCCGUAAGAC
rnacentral:rRNA from 1 species